rnacentral:rRNA from 1 species
GACGUAGGGUGCAAGCGUUGUCCGGAUUUACUGGGCGUAAAGAGCGCGUAGGCGGCUCGUUAAGUGUAGGGUUAAAUCUCCGGGCUCAACUCGGAACCUGCCCUGCAUACUGGCGAGCUUGAGGGACUGAGAGGUGAGUGGAAUUCCUGGUGUAGCGGUGAAAUGCGUUGAUAUCAGGAGGAACACCCAUGGCGAAGGCAGCUCACUGGCAGUCACCUGACGCUGAGGCGCGAAAGCGUGGGUAGCAAACAGG